rnacentral:lncRNA from 1 species
GGAAGCCGCCGGGGCCGCCUAGAGAAGAGGCUGUGCUUCGGCGCUCCGGCUCCUCAGAGAGCCUCGGCUAGCUGGGAUUCUGUCCCUGACCGUCUUCACAGUCCAGGUGAUCUUGACUACUGCUUUACAGAGAAUUGGAUCUGAGGUUGCUCCUUGAGGGCAGGACAGUUCUUAUGGCUUUAUCCGUUGCGUAAGCACAGAGAGGUCUGCGAGGUCAAAACUAUUGUCAUGAUAGCAAGAUGCCUGUCUUUUUCAUUUAUUCUCACGGUGUGCAGAGGCUACAUGAUGUGUGAUGACAUCCUCAUUGAUGUUAAUGAAUGGUGCUAUACUUGAAUUUUCUAAGGUGUCAUUAGCAAUUCUCCUGCCUCAGCCUCCUGCAUAACUGGGACUACAGGGAAGCACCAUUUUCCACAAAACUCUCAAGAAGGACUUGUUGCAACUGGAAAAGCAAUUAAAUGUGAAUCGUGAUCCAGGAGAAAGUAACAACUCACAUAACUCCCAAAUUAAAAGUUUUCCAAAGAUAUAUCAUUUUUUUUCUCUUGGCCUUUUAAGAAACUAGCCAACAAAUACUCUUGACAGGUUUGUGUUUGGUUUUGAAAACACACACCUUAGUGUACUGAAAGAAAAACAAUUUCUUUUAAUUUGGUUUGUUGGUCCCACACCCCAUCUAUCAAUGUAUGUGCUAUUUACAAAUAAGUUCUAUACA